GUAAUUCUGUCAAUCCACGAGAUAAAAAAAAAGGUUGGAAGGGAGCAUCAAUCAUACAAGAUAAUAAAACAAAUGAACAAAAACAUUUUUUUGAAAAUGCAAAAUCAAUAUUGCAGCGUUUACCUGAAAUAGCUAAUGAAAUAGCCGUUGCCAUCGUCUCAGACAUAGACAAAAACGUUACUCCAAAUCUACCUAAUGACCCACCCAUAACCUGGGGAGUAUUAAAUAAUCUUAUUACCAAUCUGAAAAAAGUAAACGCAUUUCUUUAGUUAUACAAUCAAUAAUAUUGC